rnacentral:rRNA from 1 species
UACGGGGGGGGCAAGCGUUGUUCGGAAUUACUGGGCGUAAAGGGCUCGUAGGCGGCCAACUAAGUCAGACGUGAAAUCCCUCGGCUUAACCGGGGAACUGCGUCUGAUACUGGAUGGCUUGAGAUUGGGAGAGGGGAUGCGGAAUUCCAGGUGUAGCGGUGAAAUGCGUAGAUAGUCUGGAGGAACACCGGUGGCGAAGGCGACAUCCUGGACCAACACGUGACGCGUGAGACGCGAAAGCGUCGGGGAGGCAACAACGGAGU